UACGUAGGUGGCGAGCGUUGUCCGGAUUUACUGGGCGUAAAGAGCGCGCAGGCGGCUGGUCAAGUCCGAUGUGAAAGCUCCCGGCUUAACUGGGAAAUUGCAUCGGAAACUGAUCGGCUGGAAGGUGGGAGAGGGUAGCGGAAUUCCCGGUGUAGUGGUGAAAUGCGUAGAUAUCGGGAGGAACACCAGUGGCGAAGGCGGCGAUCUGGGAAGAUACUGACGCUGAGGUGCGAAAGCGUGGGGAGCAAACAGG
rnacentral:rRNA from 1 species